GCACGUACGCCAGUAUGUGUGGAGCCGUCCUUGAAAUACCACCCUUGUAGUGUUGAUGUUCUAACGUCGACCCCUUAUCGGGGUUGCGGACAGUGCCUGGUGGGUAGUUUGACUGGGGCGGUCUCCUCCCAAAGAGUAACGGAGGAGCACGAAGGUGGGCUAAUCACGGUUGGACAUCGUGAGGUUAGUGCAAUGGCAUAAGCCCGCUUGACUGCGAGAAUGACAAUUCGAGCAGGUGCGAAAGCAGGUCAUAGUGAUCCGGUGGUUCUGAAUGGAAGGGCCAUCGCUCAACGGAUAAAAGGUACUCCGGGGAUAACAGGCUGAUACCGCCCAAGAGUUCAUAUCGACGGCGGUGUUUGGCACCUCGAUGUCGGCUCAUCACAUCCUGGGGCUGAAGUCGGUCCCAAGGGUAUGGCUGUUCGCCAUUUAAAGUGGUACGCGAGCUGGGUUUAGAACGUCGUGAGACAGUUCGGUCCCUAUCUGCCGUGGGCGUUGGAAGAUUGAAGGGGGCUGCUCCUAGUACGAGAGGACCGGAGUGGACGAACCUCUGGUGUUCGGGUUGUGUCGCCAGACGCAUUGCCCGGUAGCUAAGUUCGGAAUCGAUAACCGCUGAAAGCAUCUAAGCGGGAAGCGAGCCCUGAGAUGAGUCUUCCCUGAUACUUUAAGUAUCCUAAAGGGUUGUCGGAGACUACGACGUUGAUAGGUCAGGUGUGUAAGUGCUGUGAGGCAUUGAGCUAACUGAUACUAAUUGCCCGUGAGGCUUAACCAUACAACACCCAAGGGGUUU
rnacentral:rRNA from 1 species